CGUGCAGGCGGCCGAUCAAGUCUGAUGUGAAAGCCCGGGGCUUAACCUCGGAAGGGCGUUGGAAACUGGUCGGCUUGAGUUCGGGAGGGGAAAGCGGAAUUCCGGGUGUAGAGGUGAAAUUCGUAGAUAUCCGGAGGAACACCGGUGGCGAAGGCGGCUUUCUGGACCGAAACUGACGCUGAGACGCGAAAGCGUGGGGAGCAAACAGGAUUAGAUACCCUGGUAGUCCACGCUGUAAACGAUGGGCACUAGGUGUGGGGGGUUUUUAAUCCCUCCGUGCCGCAGCUAACGCAUUAAGUGCCCCGCCUGGGGAGUACGGCCGCAAGGUUAAA
rnacentral:rRNA from 1 species